GUUGCCUACGGGACGCAGCAGUAGGGAAUUUUCGUCAAUGGGCGCAAGCCUGAACGAGCAAUGCCGCGUGAACGAGGAGGGUCUUCGGAUCGUAAAUGUCUGUUGAAGGGGAAAAAGAGCGGAGAGAGGAAAUGGUCUCCGAUUGAUAUUACCCUUCGAGGAAGUCACGGCUAACUACGUGCCAGCAGCCGCGGUAAUACGUAGGUGGCGAGCGUUAUCCGGAAUGAUUGGGCGUAAAGGGUGCGUAGGCGGCCUGCUACGUCUGGAGUGAAAGGUACCGGCUCAACCGGUACAGGCUCUGGAAA
rnacentral:rRNA from 1 species